GUACAUAGUUUUUUUCAUUAUCAGGGUUAGUUAUUGUUUGAGUGGUUAAUGUUUUUGAUCUUAAUGCCUUCUGUACUUGAACUUGUAUUCUCUUUAUGAAGGACUUCGUGUAUCCAUGUUGGUAUCCUACUUUAUAUAUAUAUAUACGUGUUUUCUUCGUUUAGAUCCUUUGGGUCUGUACAGUAUUUUAUGGCUCUUUCGAAUAAUGAUCUGGGGAUCAUUUCGGUAUCAGCACUUGGUGAUGCGUAGGUUUUUCUAUAUGCUUUUGUUUUUAAGCUGGCUUGUUCUACUUUUAUGUCUAUAUCUAAAUAAUGUCC
rnacentral:lncRNA from 1 species